AUGAUUGAAGAUGACUGUUGCAUGAAUGAGUCAUUGUUCAAUCGUGAAAUCGAGGCAUUGGUACAGAUUCGUCAUCAAAACAUUGUAAAACUAUUUGGAUAUUAUUCCUCUAGUCAAGGAAGGUUUCUUAUCUACGAAUAUAUGGAUAGAGGAAACUUGGCAGAAACACUAAGGGUCGAUGAAAGGGCAGUUGGAUUGGACUGGAGUAGGCGGGUAAAUAUUGUGCUGGAUGUGAUUCAUGCUUUGGCAUACAUGCAUAAUGAUUGUUCGGCACCAAUAGUCCACAGAGAUAUAACAAGCAACAACAUUUUGCUUGAUAUGGAAUUUAGGGCUUGCAUCUCUGACAUUGGUACAGCUAAAAUUCUCAAUAUUGAUGACCAAAAUCUCACAAGGCUCGCUGGGACGAAAGGCUAUAUAGCUCCAGAGCUAGCAUACAUUGAGAAUGUGACAGAGAAGUGUAAAGUAUACAGUUUUGGAGUACUUGUUCUAGAGUUAUUUAUGGGGUCCCAUCCAGGCGAUUUGCUCGCAUCCCUCUUGAUGGCUCCCAAGAAAACACAUCUGUACCUGCAAGAUCUUUUAGACUCCAGAAUCAUGCUACCAGAUGCUGACACAGCUAGAAAAAUAUACAUAAUGAUCAAUGUUCUUGUUAAGUGCUUGGAGCCAAACCCAUCACGUAGACCAACGGCACAACACGUUAGUGAUGAGCUUGGGAUUAAAACUUGCGAAGAUUAUGUUGAUUAUCUACAAGCUACUUUCACCAUUCCAAUCCAGUAG
rnacentral:rRNA from 1 species